rnacentral:lncRNA from 1 species
AUGCUGUGGAUGUGUCUGCUCUUGGUUUUGCUGCAGAUUUUGUUUUAUGGAUGGACUUGGCUCUGUCCUUCGGGAAGAGAUGCAGCCCUCAGCAGCCUUCGUUCCCCAGGAUGGACAGAAAGAAAUGGUGGAGCUAUGUGUGAUUUUCUCAUCUCUCAGGAUGCAAGCCUGCCACUGACCUUCACUGUGACCUUGGGCAAGUCAAUGACAGUGAAUUUUCAAGAGCUGAGCAUUGACCACCAGAGUCAGCUCAAAAUGCAUCAGCAUAGUGCCAAAUUAAUACGGCUUGGAUGCAGUCCAGUGGGCUGUGCUCUAAGUAUUUGUCUAAAAGCAUCACAAGAGAUGCUUAUCAUGGAGACCCUUUGGAAAUCUACAUGCAGGAGGAUGUCCCAGACCUUUAAGGCUCUGCUGUACCCUGAGAUGCACAAGGAUUCAUUUCUAAUUGUAUGA